CAGCAGCCGCGGUAAAACAGAGGGUGCGAGCGUUAAUCGGAUUUACUGGGCGUAAAGCGUGCGUAGGCGGCUUCUUAAGUCGGAUGUGAAAUCCCUGAGCUUAACUUAGGAAUUGCAUUCGAUACUGGGAAGCUAGAGUAUGGGAGAGGAUGGUAGAAUUCCAGGUGUAGCGGUGAAAUGCGUAGAGAUCUGGAGGAAUACCGAUGGCGAAGGCAGCCAUCUGGCCUAAUACUGACGCUGUGGUACGAAAGCAUGGGGAGCAAACAGGAUUAGAUACCCGUGUAGUCCCUGUCUCUUAUAU
rnacentral:rRNA from 1 species